UACGAAGGGGGCUAGCGUUGUCCGGAUUGACUGGGCGUAAAGCGCACGCAGGCGGGUGCGCGCGUGGGGUGUGAAACCGGGUGGCUUAACUGCCCGCUCGCCAUCCCAUACGGCGCGCCUGGAGCCAUCCGAGAGGUCGGUGGAAUUUCCGGUGUAGCGGUGAAAUGCGUAGAAUAUCGGAAGGAACACCUGUGGCGAAAGCGGCUCACUGGACCAUAACUGACGCUGAGGCACGAAAGCUAGGGGAGCAAACAGG
rnacentral:rRNA from 1 species